UUUUGGGACGAUCUCUUCCAGAAAAGCUUCUUCUGAAAGAAGCCUGCAGUCUAGACAUAGCCCCUGUCUGUAAAAUAGGUAAGUAGUUUCCUAGACCAGAUUGUCAAAUGCCUAAUUUCUGGAAAUUAAACACCUAAAUACCUUUGGAGAUCUGGACAAGAGAGUUUAUAUAUCUGCUACAUGGGUACUUACCUCUGCCAAGUUGAGGCUUACAUCUCUCUCUCUCUAUAUAUAUAUAUUUUAGAGAUUUGUGCAUAUGUCUGUGAGUCUGUCUCUGUCCAUUUGUUCAAGAACUAAAUGGUAAGAGCUUGACCACCAAAUUUGGUAUGCAGUUUCCUCUAAUCCUAACUUAAAAGCAAGACCAAAGAAAAUGGGAUGCCCUUGAAUUUGAUUGUUUUCUAUAGCAUGGAAAGAGAGGGGGCUGAGUGGAGGGAUGCUAUACUCACAAUCACCACUCUGGUCAUCGAGUGCAGGGGCCAGGUUUAAUGCAGAGUGACCACCGGGGACAACUGCAUCACCAAGGGAGUAGCUAGCUGGAGAUGGGGCUUGCCAUCUUGCCUUCCACUGGCCCAGCCAUCUCCUGAAAAAAUAACUGCUAAUCUGAUGGCCUAUCUGAGUUUUCCAUUGUCUUGUAAGAACAGAUUUCCUAUCUCCAUCACCAGAGUCUGCUUUUCACCUGGAAGUUUCAGAUACAAGAACAAAGACAUAACCAAGCCACCCAGAACCCAAGCCUUUCAGAACUCCUUACCUUGAGGAAAUUGAUCAGUGGUGGUGGUUAGCUUGAGCUCCUCCUCCAUAUCCCAGUCCUCAAGGCCACUUUUUAGAUGCAGACUUUCCCAAAACAUUUUGUUUUGAAAAUUCAAAUACAUUUUCUUAUAAUCUGUAAAAUAACCCACAACUGUUGCAGAUCCUGGAUGUUGGAGGGAGGCUACAGAGCAAGCCACACAGAGUUAAUCAUGGAUAACUUUCAACUUUCUAAUUCUGCUCUAUGUGAUUUGAUCCCACUUUAAAGAGAAAGAGAUUUGACUAGGGGAAUUAAAGGAUUGGUCUCUAUUUAAAAGUGUGAAACACCAAUUACAGAUCCUAGUAGGGACUGGAUGAUUAGUGUCAGUGAAGCGAGCAAUCUACUUGAAAAUAAGAGCCAUCACCUGAGAGGCUUUGUUUGUUCAUGUAAACUAAAUUUUUGAUAAGUGCUCAGCUCCUUAAGUUUGCAGAGCUGUAGCUUAAUGUUUCUGGAAGAAUGUAAGUGUAAAGGAAUAUGUUUGCAGCUGUUCAUAAUACAGGAUCAUCCAAGGGUGUGUGGCCUUGUGGUCUGAGGCUUUUUGGAGGGCAUAUAGGGGACUUUGAGGCACAUCUGAAGACACAGAGAAGUUCUGCCUCUCAACCUUUUUGAAUAGUUUAGUUUCUUUUCUCCUUCUCACACCUCAUGUUCUUUUUUACUCUUUUUUCAUCUCAGUCCCAGUUUCUACUUUCUCAUUUCCCUUCCCUGUCUUGUUCCUAGCCCAGAUCCUUCCCUUCCAACAAAUUGCUAUUCUGCUCCCCCUCACUACUGUCUUUUUCUCCCCAGCUCCAAGAUAAAUCAAUAGCCUUCCUAGUAAUCUCACUGUGCUGCCAGUUCACCAGCAGAUGGAACACAGCUGGGGAGUGAAACUGAGCUGUCUCUUGUCCUGUUCACUUGACUGUUCUGGUCCAUGUCUGAGCUAAGCACGAGUUGGGUGAGGGGGGGUACAUGUCAGUGCAUGGCAUGAUUUUUCUUGUAUUUGCCUCAUUUUAAUACAGAUGUAUUUCUAGAGCAGCAGACCUGGUGCUAGGCAUGAGCAGGCUAAGCAAUUCUUAAGAAGCUUAAGAGGCUCCUGUGUUGUGUGAGUGGGAACAAAAAUAUUCUUGUUCAGGGCCUCCGAUGGUCUUGCACUAGUACUGAAUUGAGUACUCCAGUACAUGCCUGGAGUAGGUAAGUGCUGGUCCCAGGGAUUAAUUUGGUCAAGGGACUCCUCUGGGCAUGAUUCCCUUAAAUCCCCAUAGGAAUUGAUAUCAACCAGUUAAAUGUUACAUUAACUGAGUUCUUGCAGCGCAGCAGGCCUGGCCAGACUGGAGCAACGCCCACCCGUGGUGCAAUGUGAGUGAUGGAUGGCUCCAGGCUGGCCGGGCUGCAAAUUAACUGAUUACCCCAGUAAGGCUAAUGCUUACUGGGUAACCAGUUAAGCAGUUGACCCUUUACAUCCCUACUGUCUAUACAAGGAUUUAAGUUGACUUAACUGUACUGCUCUGGAAUGAUCAGGUAUAAAAGCAUCAGUUCUACUUAUUCCCAAAUUGCUCUGAUGUGUGGAGACCCUAUGGUAGGGCAGGAAGCACCUAAUUUUACACUCCUCCCCCCAAAAACGCCAUGUAUCCAGGACUAGAAUCUCCACACUGAUUGUGCUGCCCCAAGUCACACAAAAACCACACCAAAUUUCCUGGAACAACAGCAGUUUGAGGAGGAAGAUCCUUUGUCGGAGGAGGAAGAUAGAUUCCCCCCCUCCUCCAUCCUUAUCUCCUGAUGAGGCUAUAAUUCCUACGAUCCCAACUCCUACAGACGAGUUAAAACAAUUCCAGGGUUGUUUAAACAAGUGGCCAGUGCACAAGAGAUAGAUAAGAAGUGCUGGAGAAGCAACAUAGACUUCUCCACAUCCUUCAGCCUUCCACAUCUUCGAAAAUAGUCUCCCUUUGGACGAAGCCAUUCUCAACCCAGCUGACACCAUCUGGCAGACACCUGCUUCUAUCAUGCCCACUAACAAGAGAGCAGAUAGAAAAUACUUUAUUCCUGCCAAGGGGAUGGACUUUAUUUGCUCACAUCUCCCUCCAAACUCCCAAGUGGUGGACUCUGUCCAUUACAGAGCCAAAUACCCCCAAUUCUGGUCCACCCCACCAGGAUAAAGGCCAUAAGUGGCUCGACAAACUGGGUAGAAAUGUCUGCUCCUCGGCCACUCCGCAAUUGUGGGUAGCCAAUUAUUUGGCGUUUCUUGUUGAUUACAACCACACCAAUUACUCAGAAUUGCAAGAUCUCAUGCAGAUCUUCUCAGAACAGAAGAGGCCUUAACUUCAGGUCAUAAUUCAAGAGAGUCACACCAUUGCCUGUAUGGCAUUCCAAGCUGCCUUAGACAUCACAGAUACUGCUAAAUACAGCACCCCCAUGGCAACUGUCAUGCACAGGGUUUUGUGGCUACAAGCAUUGAGAAUACCUAGGGAACUGCAACUCAAAGUGGAGAACCUCCCUUUUGAUAAGACCAACUUAUUUGCUAGCAAAAUAGACGAGGUCUUUCACUCCAUGAAAAAUUCUCGCACAACCCUCAGAACACUGAGGGUUAUUUUUACCUUGGUUAUUUAUAUACCACCAAAUAAAUGCCAAAGGUAUAACACCUAUUCAAGGUCAAAGGAGUCAUACAGAUAGCUCAACAGUCCAUAUGACUUCAGACAAAGGCAACAACAACAGAAGUAUAGACCACACUGUCAGCAACAAUCUAACACAAAUCAGCUGUCUACAUCAAAAUAGCAAAUUUGAAGGUUUGUUCAAGGGCUUGAGCAACAUCCCCACCAUACCAUUUGCCACAUUAAAAGUCAUAUGUGGGUCCUGCAGCUUAGCAAGCCUGGAAUGGAAGUUUCCAUCCUAGCUGUACACAGGCAAAUGCAAACAGUAGCUGGGCUUUAUCAGCUUUAACCCAUGCCUUGAGCUGGGAAGCUACUAAGCUGUAAACAAGUUUGGCCUUGGGCUCAGCUCAUGAGAAUGUUAAGAAUGGUGUUGAGCCAGUACGUGCACGCUAUUAAACAACUGUAAUAUAACUAGUGUAGGGAGUCCUAUGCCCAGUGAGUCUCACCAGGGACCUAAACCUCGAAGGGUGCCCAGGAUUCCCCCAGCUAGAGCCACGUCCACUGCGGCCUUGUGCGAGGUGACAGGAACGGGACUCCCCACAGACUGAAGGGAUGUAAGCAUUUCUAAGUGCCUGUUGCUCUCUUAUGCAUUGCUUUGCCUGUGCUAAUUGAUGUAUCACUUUGCAGUAGCUGUGUAAUCAUCUAACCAUAUUAACGCUAUAAUAGUAGUGACAUAGUGAGAUUAAUAAAAGCAACUAUCCCUAAUCGAUUUUGUUAUGAAGCGAAUCCAUAAUCCUAUUUGGCUAUGCCCCUGUGAGUUGACACCGUUGUCUACACCAUCCAAUCUCCAAUUUACCCACCAGCAAUGGUCCUUUUUCCAACAAUGAACUAAAAUAACAUCUGACCAGUGGAUUUUAGAGAUCAUCAGUUUGCUCUACACCAUAUUCUUCAUACCAAUUCCCCCUCCCCAUUUCCCCCUUCUCUCUUCAGGGACUCCCUCACAAAAACUUCCUACAACUAGCGGUUCAACAUGUGCUGCAAGUUGAGGCCAUAGAACCAGUUCCAUCAGCCUAUCCAGGAAGAGGGUUUUACUCAUAAUACUUCCUCACACAGAAGAAGAUAGGGGUUGGAGACCCAUACUAGAUCUCAGAAAGCUCAGCAAGUACAUAACAUAUUAGAGGUUCAAGAUGGUCAUGUUAAUAACCAUCAUACUGGCUUUAGACAAUGGAGAUUGGUUCUUAGCCCUCAACUUCCAAGAUGUCUGUUUUCAUAUAACAAUCCACCCAGCACACAGAUGUUUCCUAUGUUUCACAGUGGGAACCAACCACUACCAAUAUCAAGUUCUUCUAUUUGGCUUAUCAAUGGCACCAAGAGUCUUCACCAAAACUCUGUCUGUAUACCUGUCAUAUAGGAGUGAUAACCUUUCCAUAUUUGAAUUACUCCCUCAUCAAGGCACCCAAGACAUGGUCAACAAGACUAUCGCUCUGCAACUCAGCCUUGGAUUCCAUAUCAACUAUCAGAAAUCCACAUUGCAGCCCAUACAGGCUCUCGAGUUCAUAGGUGCUCAACUAGAUUCCGCCACAGCCACGAUGACUCUACCUGAACACAAGUUUAGGUCCCCCCACAUAAACUCAAUGCAGGCUUUGCCAGUUACAACAGUACACAGGUGUCUCCAAAUCCUUGGUCACAUGGUGGCCAUAAAGUAUGUGAUGAAACUAGCAAGACUCCAUAUGAGAUGCCAUCAAGCAUAGUUGGCCACUGCUUAUAUCCCUUUCAGGGACUCUACAGUCAACAGAGGAAAAAGGACUGUAAGCUGUCUAAAAUCCUACCUACCACAUGGGGCCACAACAGUGGUACCCCUAACUCACCCAGCAAUAUCGUCAAUCUUUCCAACUACACACACAGCCCGGCAGAAGAGUCUGUUCUAUCUCGGGGACUCUCUUUUUGCCCCGCCACCCCCGCUAACAUGAU